rnacentral:pre_miRNA from 1 species
CUGUAAUUUCAGAUUCCUCCAUUUUUGGUCCCUCAUUUUACGUGCCAUGUAUGCAGAUUUUGCUGACGUGGUGGAAUGAGCUACCAAAAGUGGAAGAAUAUGAAAUUACAG